rnacentral:rRNA from 1 species
GCUACAGGCUUAACACAUGCAAGUCGAGGGGCAGCAUGGUCUUAGCUUGCUAAGGCCGAUGGCGACCGGCGCACGGGUGAGUAACACGUAUCCAACCUGCCGUCUACUCUUGGACAGCCUUCUGAAAGGAAGAUUAAUACAAGAUGGCAUCAUGAGUCCGCAUGUUCACAUGAUUAAAGGUAUUCCGGUAGACGAUGGGGAUGCGUUCCAUUAGAUAGUAGGCGGGGUAACGGCCCACCUAGUCUUCGAUGGAUAGGGGUUCUGAGAGGAAGGUCCCCCACAUUGGAACUGAGACACGGUCCAAACUCCUACGGGAGGCAGCAGUGAGGAAUAUUGGUCAAUGGGCGAGAGCCUGAACCAGCCAAGUAGCGUGAAGGAUGACUGCCCUAUGGGUUGUAAACUUCUUUUAUAAAGGAAUAAAGUCGGGUAUGGAUACCCGUUUGCAUGUACUUUAUGAAUAAGGAUCGGCUAACUCCGUGCCAGCAGCCGCGGUAAUACGGAGGAUCCGAGCGUUAUCCGGAUUUAUUGGGUUUAAAGGGAGCGUAGAUGGAUGUUUAAGUCAGUUGUGAAAGUUUGCGGCUCAACCGUAAAAUUGCAGUUGAUACUGGAUAUCUUGAGUGCAGUUGAGGCAGGCGGAAUUCGUGGUGUAGCGGUGAAAUGCUUAGAUAUCACGAAGAACUCCGAUUGCGAAGGCAGCCUGCUAAGCUGCAACUGACAUUGAGGCUCGAAAGUGUGGGUAUCAAACAGGAUUAGAUACCCUGGUAGUCCACACGGUAAACGAUGAAUACUCGCUGUUUGCGAUAUACAGCAAGCGGCCAAGCGAAAGCGUUAAGUAUUCCACCUGGGGAGUACGCCGGCAACGGUGAAACUCAAAGGAAUUGACGGGGGCCCGCACAAGCGGAGGAACAUGUGGUUUAAUUCGAUGAUACGCGAGGAACCUUACCCGGGCUUAAAUUGCAGAUGAAUUACGGUGAAAGCCGUAAGCCGCAAGGCAUCUGUGAAGGUGCUGCAUGGUUGUCGUCAGCUCGUGCCGUGAGGUGUCGGCUUAAGUGCCAUAACGAGCGCAACCCUUGUUGUCAGUUACUAACAGGUUCCGCUGAGGACUCUGACAAGACUGCCAUCGUAAGAUGUGAGGAAGGUGGGGAUGACGUCAAAUCAGCACGGCCCUUACGUCCGGGGCUACACACGUGUUACAAUGGGGGGUACAGAGGGCCGCUACCACGCGAGUGGAUGCCAAUCCCCAAAACCUCUCUCAGUUCGGACUGGAGUCUGCAACCCGACUCCACGAAGCUGGAUUCGCUAGUAAUCGCGCAUCAGCCACGGCGCGGUGAAUACGUUCCCGGGCCUUGUACACACCGCCCGUCAAGCCAUGGGAGCCGGGGGUACCUGAAGUGCGUAACCGCGAGGAGCGCCCUAGGGUAAAACUGGUGACUGGGGCUAAGUCAUAAC